GGGGCUGUGGGAUUAUGGGGUUAUGGGGAUUAAUAGGGUUAUGGGUGAUGGGGUUAUGGGGUCAAUGGGGAUGAAUGGGGUUAUGGGGCUAUGGGUGGUGGGGUUAUGGGGUGAUGGGGUCAAUGGGGAUUAAUGGGGUUAUGGAGAUUAAUGGGGUCAAUGGGGAUCAAUGAGGUUAUGGGGUCAAUGGGGAUUAAUGGGGUGGUGGGGUUAUGGGGUUAUGGAGUCAAUGGGGAUUAAUGGGGUUAUGGGGUUACGGAGAUUAAAGGGGUCAAUGGGGAUCAAUGGGGAUAUGGGGUUAUGGGCGAUGGGGUUAUGGGGAUAUAGGGUCAAUGAGGAUUAAUUGGGUUAUGGGGUUAUGGGGAUUAAUGGGGUCAAUGGGGAUCAAUGGGGUGAUGGGGUUAUGGGGUCAAUGGGAAUUAAUGGGGUGGCCCCAUAGGACGUCCCCAAGACCCCAUAGAUCACCUGUAGACCACAUAAAGUGUCCCCAAGAAACCAUAGAUCCCAUAGGAUGCCCCCAGACCCCACGUAUCCCCCCAUAGACCCCAUAGGAUGCCCCGAGACCCCAUAGGAUGCCCCCAGACCCCACGUAUCCCCCCAUAGACCCCAUAGGAUGCCCCCGAGACCCCAUAGGAUGCCCCCAGACCCCACAUAUCCCCCCGAGACCCCAUAGGAUGCCCCUGAGACCCCAUAGGAUGCCCCCAGACCCCACAUAUCCCCCCAUAGACCCCAUAGGAUGCCCCCAGACCCCACGUAUCCCCCCAUAGACCCCAUAGGAUGUCCCCAGACCCCAUAGAAUGUCCCCAUACCCCACGUAUCUCCCCAUAGAAUCCAUAGGAUGUCCCCAAGACCCCAUAGAUCACCCCAUAGACCCCAUAGGAUGUCCCUGAGACCCCAUAUGGUGCUGCUGAGACCCGAUAGAACCCCAUAGAGGUGACAGUGGGACCCCAUGGAGUGCCACCAACCCCACAGAGGUGACAACGGGACCCCAUAUUGGUGACAAUGGGACCCCAUAGACGUGACAACGUGACCCCAUGGAGUGCCACCAACCCCAUAGAGGUGACAAUGGGACCCCAUGGAGUGCCACCAACCCUACAGAGGUGACAAUGGGACCCCAUAGAGGUGACAAUGUGACCCCAUAGACGUGACAGCGUGACCCCAUGGAGUGCCACCAACCCCAUAGAGGUGACAAUGGGACCCCAUGGAGUGCCACCAACCCUACAGAGGUGACAAUGGGACCCCAUAGAGUGACACCAGCCCUAUAGAGGUGACAAUGGGACCCCAUAGAGUGCCACCAACCCCACAGAGGUGACAAUGGGACCCCAUGGAGUGCCACCAACCCCAUAUUGGUGACAACGGGACCCCAUGGAGUGCCACCAACCCUACAGAGGUGACAAUGGGACCCCAUUGGUGACAGUGGGACCCCAUAUUGGUGACAGUGGGACCCCAUGAAGUGCCACCAACCCCACAGAGGUGACAAUGGGACCCCAAGGAGUGCCACCAACCCCAUAGAGGUGACAAUGGGACCCCAUGGAGUGCCACCAACCCCAUAUUGGUGACAAUGGAACCCCAUAGACAUGACAACAUGACCCCAUAGAGUGCCACCAACCCCACAGAGGUGACAAUGGGACCCCAUUGGUGACAGUGGGACCCCAUAUUGGUGACAAUGGGACCCCAUGGAAUGCCACCAACCCCAUAGAGGUGACAAUGGGACCCCAUAGAGUGCCACCAACCCCAUAGAGGUGACAGUGGGACCCCAUGGAGUGCCACCAACCCCAUAUUGGUGACAAUGGGACCCCAUUGGUGACAGUGGGACCCCAUAUUGGUGACAGUGGGACCCCAUAGAGUGCCACCAACCCCAUAGAGGUGACAAUGGGACCCCAUUGGUGACAGUGGGACCCCAUAUUGGUGACAAUGGGACCCCAUAGAGUGCCACCAACCCCAUAGAGGUGACAAUGGGGCCAACGUCAGCACCCGGGAGGGGACGUCGAGGAGUGUCACCGUAUGGGGGUGACUCACGGGGGCGCCCCCACCCACCUCAGGGCGGUGUCACCGCGUCACCUCCCUCCCUUAUCUUAUCGGCGCCGUGGGGUGGGGGUGGGGCUCUCCCUAUAGGGCCACCCAUCCCCGUCCCGCCCCCUUUUUUGGGGGGUCAAAU
ensembl:lncRNA